GACGAACGCUGGCGGCGUGCUUAACACAUGCAAGUCGAGCGGUAAGGCCCUUUCGGGGGUACACGAGCGGCGAACGGGUGAGUAACACGUGGGUGACCUGCCCUCAGCUCUGGGAUAAGCCUGGGAAACCGGGUCUAAUACCGGAUAUGACUCCAUGACGCAUGUUGUGGGGUGGAAAGCCUUGUGCGGCUGAGGAUGGGCCCGCGGCCUAUCAGCUUGUUGGUGGGGUGAUGGCCUACCAAGGCGACGACGGGUAGCCGGCCUGAGAGGGCGACCGGCCACACUGGGACUGAGACACGGCCCAGGACUCCUACGGGAGGCAGCAGUGGGGAAUCUUGCGCAAUGGGCGAAAGCCUGACGCAGCGACGCCGCGUGAGGGAUGACGGCCUGG
rnacentral:rRNA from 1 species